CUCUUUCGGGGGACACAUCAGCGGCAGACGGGUGAGUAACACGUAGGUAACCUACCCCAGAGACAGGGAUAACCCUAGGAAACGAGGGCUAAUACCGGAUGACCUCCGGAAGGAGGAAAGGCUCAGGCGCUCUGGGAGGGGCUUGCGGCCCAUCAAGCUAAGUUGGUAGGGUAAAGGCCUACCAAGGCGAAGACGGGUAGGGGGUGUGAGAGCACGGCCCCCCACAAUGGGACUGAAACACGGNCCAUACUCCUACGGGAGGCAGCAGCAGGGAAUAUUGCACAAUAGGCGAAAGCCUGAUGCCAGCGACGCCGCGUGAGUGAAGAAGGCCUUCGGGUCGUAAAGCUCUUUUGUAGGGGAAGAGGAAGGACGGUACCCUAAGAAGAAGCGUCGGCUAACUACGUGCCAGCAGCCGCGGUAAGACGUAGGACGCGAGCGUUAUCCGGAAUUACCUGGGCGUAAAGGGCCAGCAGGCGGCUUGGUAAGUUGUGCGUGAAAGCCUCGUGCUCAACGCGAGGAAGCCGGACAAUACUGUUCCAGCUAGAGGGCAUCAGAGGGGAGUGGAAUUCCCGGAGUAGCGGUAAAAUGCGCAGAUAUCGGGAGGAACACCGAAUGGCGAAGGCAGCUCCCUGGGAUGCACCUGACGCUAAGAGGCGAAAGCUAGGGGAGCGAACAGGAUAAGAGACCCUGGUAGUCCUAGCUGUUAACGCUGGGUGCUAGGUGUGGG
rnacentral:rRNA from 1 species